GAACGCUGGCGGCAGGCUUAACACAUGCAAGUCGAACGAUAAACUAGACUUCGGUUUAGUGGACAGUGGCAGACGGGUGAGUAACGCGUGGGAAUCUACCUUUGAGUGGGGAAUAACAAUUAGAAAUGAUUGCUAAUACCGCAUACACCCUCCGGGGGAAAGGCUUCGGCCGCUCUUAGAUGAGCCCGCGUACGAUUAGUUUGUUGGUGAGGUAAAGGCUCACCAAGACUACGAUCGUUAGCUGGUUUGAGAGGAUGAUCAGCCACACUGGGACUGAGACACGGCCCAGACUCCUACGGGAGGCAGCAGUGGGGAAUAUUGGACAAUGGGCGAAAGCCUGAUCCAGCCAUGCCGCGUGAGUGAAGAAGGCCUUAGGGUUGUAAAACUCUUUCGACAGGGAAGAUAAUGACGGUACCUGUAUAAGAAGCUCCGG
rnacentral:rRNA from 1 species